rnacentral:rRNA from 1 species
AUGUCUAGUAUAAGCAUCUAUACGGUGAAACUGCGAAUGGCUCAUUAAAUCAGUUAUCGUUUAUUUGAUAGUACCUUACUACUUGGAUAACCGUGGUAAUUCUAGAGCUAAUACAUGCUAAAAACCCCGACUUCGGAAGGGGUGUAUUUAUUAGAUAAAAAACCAAUGCCCUUCGGGGCUCCCUGGUGAUUCAUAAUAACUUAACGAAUCGCAUGGCCUUGUGCCGGCGAUGGUUCAUUCAAAUUUCUGCCCUAUCAACUUUCGAUGGUAGGAUAGUGGCCUACCAUGGUUUCAACGGGUAACGGGGAAUUAGGGUUCUAUUCCGGAGAGGGAGCCUGAGAAACGGCUGCCACAUCCAAGGAAGGCAGCAGGCGCGCAAAUUACCCAAUCCCGACACGGGGAGGUAGUGACAAUAAAUACUGAUACAGGGCUCUUUUGGGUCUUGUAAUUGGAAUGAGUACAAUUUAAAUCCCUUAACGAGGAACAAUUGGAGGGCAAGUCUGGUGCCAGCAGCCGCGGUAAUUCCAGCUCCAAUAGCGUAUAUUAAAGUUGUUGCAGUUAAAAAGCUCGUAGUUGAACCUUGGGCCUGGCUGGCCGGUCCGCCUCACCGCGUGCACUGGUCCGGCCGGGUCUUUCCUUCUGGGGAGCCGUAUGCCCUUCACUGGGUGUGUCGGGGAACCAGGACUUUUACUUUGAAAAAAUUAGAGUGUUCAAAGCAGGCCUAUGCUCGAAUACAUUAGCAUGGAAUAAUAGAAUAGGACGUGUGGUUCUAUUUUGUUGGUUUCUAGGACCGCCGUAAUGAUUAAUAGGGAUAGUCGGGGGCAUCAGUAUUCAAUUGUCAGAGGUGAAAUUCUUGGAUUUAUUGAAGACUAACUACUGCGAAAGCAUUUGCCAAGGAUGUUUUCAUUAAUCAGUGAACGAAAGUUAGGGGAUCGAAGACGAUUAACUUAGGGUUUAUGCCUUAA